AGUCUGGUGCCAGCAGCCGCGGUAAUUCCAGCUCCAAUAGCGUAUAUUAAAGUUGUUGCGGUUAAAAAGCUCGUAGUUGGAUUUCUGGUACGGUGCGCUUAGCCCAUGCUCGCAAGAGUGUGAGUGCUGACGUGCGCCUGCCAUCUUGCUAGAAAACGGCCCUGCUCUUCACUGGGUAGAGUCGUGAUCUAGCUCUUUUACUUUGAAAAAAUUAGAGUGUUUAAAGCAGGCUUGCGCUAUGAAUACAUUAGCAUGGAAUAAUAAUCUAGGACUUUGUUCCUAUUUUGUUGGUUUCUGGGAAUGAAGUAAUGAUUGAUAGGGAUGGUUGGGGGUGCUAGUAUUCAGCGGCCAGAGGUGAAAUUCUUGGAUUCGCUGAAGACUAACUAAUGCGAAAGCAUUCACCAAGGACGUCUUCUUUAAUCAAGAACGAAAGUUGGGGGAUCGAAGACGAUCAGAUACCGUCGUAGUCUCAACUAUAAACUAUACCGACUAGGGAUUGGCGGAAGUUGUUCAACGACUCCGUCAGCACCUUAUGAGAAAUCAAAGUCUUUGGGUUCCGGGGGGAGUAUGGUCGCAAGGCUGAAACUUAAAGGAAUUGACGGAAGGGCACCACCAGGAGUGGAGCCUGCGGCUUAAUUUGACCCAACACGGGGAAACUUACCAGGUCCAGACAUGGGGAGGAUUGACAGAUUGAAGUUCUUUCUUGAUUCUAUGGGUGGUGGUGCAUGGCCGUUCUUAGUUGGUGGAGUGAUUCGUCUGGUUAAUUCCGUUAACGAACGAGACCUCGACCUGCUAAAUAGUUCAGCGUACCCUCGGGUAUGUAUGUGACUUCUUAGAGGGACUGUCGGUUUUUAGCCGAAGGAAGUUCGAGGCAAUAACAGGUCUGUGAUGCCCUUAGAUGUCCUGGGCCGCACGCGCGCUACACUGAUACGUUCAUCGAGCUUACAACCUUGUCUGAGAGGACUGGGUAAUCUUUUCAAAGCGUAUCGUGAUGGGGCUUGUUCAUUGUAAUUAUUGAACAUCAACGAGGAAUUCCUAGUAAACGCGAGUCAUCAGCUCGCAUUGAUUACGUCCCUGCCCUUUGUACACACCACCCGUCGCUGCUACCGAUUGAACGGAUUAGUAAGCUUCAGGGAUCGCCAUUCGUUGGGGGCAACUUCAGCGGGUGGUGAGAACUGACGCACACUUGCUCGUUUAGAGGAAGCAAAAGUCGUAACAAGGUU
rnacentral:rRNA from 1 species